rnacentral:snRNA from 1 species
GAAAGUAAGAAAGCCUCUCU